UACGAAGGGGGCUAGCGUUGCUCGGAAUUACUGGGCGUAAAGGGCGCGUAGGCGGCCUUCUAAGUCGAACGUGAAAUCCCCGGGCUCAACCCGGGAACUGCGUCCGAGACUGAAAGGCUUGAAUCCGGGAGAGGGAUGUGGAAUUCCAGGUGUAGCGGUGAAAUGCGUAGAUAUCUGGAGGAACAUCGGUGGCGAAGGCGGCAUCCUGGACCGGUAUUGACGCUGAGGCGCGAAAGCGUGGGUAGCAAACAGG
rnacentral:rRNA from 1 species